rnacentral:misc_RNA from 1 species
GUCUUUUUGCGAAGUCAAGCUUGGAUUUGGGGGCGUGUCGGCGCAAGUCGACUGCUCUAAAAUGUAUUAGCCAUUACAAUCGAGACGGCUUAAGUGUAAUAUUGAUUAUAACACUGCGCUUGAACGAUAGAUGUGGCUCAUAGAAACCCUUACUUUUGACUUUCGACCUCGAAUCAGGUAGGACUACCCGCUGAACUUAA